GUCGCUAGGCGUGGUGGAGCCAUUGUUGAAAUACCAGCCUUUAUUUAUCUGAUGCCUAAUCCGCUAGUCGGAGACAUUGUUUGGUGGGUAGUUUGACUGGGGUGGUCGCCUCCAAAAGAGUAACGGAGGCUUUCAAAGGUACCCUCAGCACGCUUGGUAACCGUGCGUAGAGUGCAAUGGCAUAAGGGUGCUUGACUGAGAGACAUACAGGUCGACCAGGUUGGAAACAAGAGCAUAGUGAUCCGGUGGUUCCGCAUGGAAGGGCCAUCGCUCAAAGGAUAAAAGGUACUCCGGGG
rnacentral:rRNA from 1 species